UGAACGGCCACAUUGGGACUGAGACACGGCCCAGACUCCUACGGGAGGCAGCAGUGGGGAAUAUUGCACAAUGGGGGAAACCCUGAUGCAGCGACGCCGCGUGGAGGAAGAAGGUCUUCGGAUUGUAAACUCCUGUUGUUGAGGAAGAUAAUGACGGUACUCAACAAGGAAGUGACGGCUAACUACGUGCCAGCAGCCGCGGUAAAACGUAGGUCACAAGCGUUGUCCGGAAUUACUGGGUGUAAAGGGAGCGCAGGCGGGAAGACAAGUUGGAAGUGAAAUCUAUGGGCUCAACCCAUAAACUGCUUUCAAAACUGUUUUUCUUGAGUAGUGCAGAGGUAGGCGGAAUUCCCGGUGUAGCGGUGGAAUGCGUAGAUAUCGGGAGGAACACCAGUGGCGAAGGCGGCCUACUGGGCACCAACUGACGCUGAGGCUCGAAAGUGUGGGUAGCAAACAGGAUUAGAUACCCUGGUAGUCCACACCGUAAACGAUGAUUACUAGGUGUUGGAGGAUUGACCCCUUCAGUGCCGCAGUUAACACAAUAAGUAAUCCACCUGGGGAGUACGACCGCAAGGUUGAAACUCAAAGGAAUUGACGGGGGCCCGCACAAGCAGUGGAGUAUGUGGUUUAAUUCGACGCAACGCGAAGAACCUUACCAAGUCUUGACAUCCUGCGACGAUGCUGGAAACAGUAUUUUCCUUCGGGACGCAGAGACAGGUGGUGCAUGGUUGUCGUCAGCUCGUGUCGUGAGAUGUUGGGUUAAGUCCCGCAACGAGCGCAACCCUUACUGUCAGUUACUACGCAAGAGGACUCUGGCAGGACUGCCGUUGACAAAACGGAGGAAGGUGGGGAUGACGUCAAAUCAUCAUGCCCUUUAUGACUUGGGCUACACACGUACUACAAUGGCGUUAAACAAAGAGAAGCAAGACCGCGACGUGGAGCAAAACUCAGAAACAACGUCCCAGUUCGGACUGCAGGCUGCAACUCGCCUGCACGAAGUCGGAAUUGCUAGUAAUCGUGGAUCAGCAUGCCACGGUGAAUACGUUCCCGGGCCUUGUACACACCGCCCGUCACACCAUGAGAGCCGGGGGGACCCGAAGUCGGUAGUCUAACCGCAAGGAGGACGCCGCCGAAGGUAAAACUGGUGAUUGGGGUGAAGUCGGAACAAGGUAGCCGUAGGAGAACCUGCGGCUG
rnacentral:rRNA from 1 species